CGACCCGUCUUGUAACACGGACCAAGGAGUCCAACGUGUGCGCGAGUCUCUGGGUUAUCAAACCCAAAGGCGAAAUCAAGGUGAAGGGGAAUACCUCUUCCCCCAGGGAGGACGUGGGCUUGCUCUUCGCGGGCGGCCCUCCGCACUCCCGGGGCGUCUCGCGCUCAUUGCGAGUGGAGGCGCACCUAGAGCGUCCACGUUGGGACCCGAAAGAUGGUGAACUAUGCCUGGCCAGGACGAAGCCAGGGGAAACCCUGGUGGAGGUCCGUAGCGGUUCUGACGUGCAAAUCGAUCGUCGGAGCCGGGUAUAGGGGCGAAAGACUAAUCGAACCAUCUAGUAGCUGGUUCCCUCCGAAGUUUCCCUCAGGAUAGCUGUCGCCCAAGCGAGACGAGUCUCAACCGGUAAAGCGAAUGAUUAGAGGCCUUGGGGUCGAAACGACCUCAACCUAUUCUCAAACUUUAAAUGGAUGAGAACCCCGACUUGCUUGACUCGUCCGGUGAAGUCGGGGCUCGGAUCCGGGUGACAAGUGGGCCAAUUUUGGUAAGCAGAACUGGCGCUGUGGGAUGAACCAAACGCGGAGUUAAGGCGCCCAAAUCGACGCUCAUCAGACACCAUGAAAGGCGUUGGUUGCUUAAGACAGCAGGACGGUGGCCAUGGAAGUCGGAAUCCGCUAAGGAGUGUGUAACAACUCACCUGCCGAAGCAACUAGCCCUGAAAAUGGAUGGCGCUGUAGCGUCGUGCCUAUACUCCGCCGCCAACGGCAAGGCAGGCGCCGUGGUCCGCCCCGGAGCCCGUUAAGCCUUGGUGAGUAGGAGGGCCGCGGCGAUGUGCGCAGAAGGGUCAGGGCGCAAGCCCGCCUGGAGCCGUCGCCGGCGCAGAUCUUGGUGGUAGUAGCAAAUACUCCAGCGAGGCCCUGGAGGACUGAUGCGGAGAAGGGUUUCUUGUGAACAGCCGUUGCACAAGAGUCAGUCGGUCCUAAGCCCUAGGAGAGAUCCGAUGCCGAUGGGCGCCGUUAGUAGUGAACCCGCGAGGGUGCGAAAGUGGCGCUCAGUGGUUGGGCGAAGGGGAAUCCGGUCUCUAUUCCGGAACCUGGCCAGCGGUACCGUUCCAAGUCGGGCCCUCGGACGAGGACUCGUCGGGGUAACCAAAAAGGACCCGGAGACGCCGUCGGGAGAUCCAGGGAGAGUUGUCUCUUCUCUAUAAGCGUUCGAGUUCCCUGAAAACCUCUCGCAGAGAGAUAGGGUUUGGAGCGCGAAGAGCACCGCAGUUACGGCGGUGUCUGGAUCUUCCCCUCGGACCUUGAAAAUCCGGGUGAGGGCUACGAGGAACACCGCGCCAGACCGUACCCAUAUCCGCAGCAGGUCUCCAAGGUGAACAGCCUCUAGUCGUUAGUAUAAUGUGAGUAAGGGAAGUCGGCAAACUGGAUCCGUAACCUUGGGAUAAGGAUUGGCUCUGAGGAACGUGGUGAGCCGGGCUUGGUUGGGAAGUGGAGCGGUGUCAACGAUCCGGGCCUGGGCGAGGCGAGUGCGCGCGGUGUUUCGGCACCGUGUCACGAACCUCCGCUCGGUCCCGCGACUUGGCCACCCACGGACCUUCCUUGCUUCGAGCUGACGGCUGCCUAGUCGCCGGUUUCGGCCGGAGGACGGGCCGGCUGUCUCUUCGGCCACCGAUUAACGGUCAGCUCAGAACUGGCACUGACCAGGGGAAUCCGACUGUCUAAUUAAAACAAAGCAUUGCGAUGGCCCCAGCGGGUGUUGACGCAAUGUGAUUUCUGCCCAGUGCUCUGAAUGUCAACGUGAAGAAAUUCAAUAAAGCGCGGGUAAACGGCGGGAGUAACUAUGACUCUCUUAAGGUAGCCAAAUGCCUCGUCAUCUAAUUAGUGACGCGCAUGAAUGGAUUAACGAGAUUCCCGCUGUCCCUACUUACUAUCUAGCGAAACCACAGCCAAGGGAACGGGCUUGGAAAAAUCAGUGGGGAAAGAAGACCCUGUUGAGCUUGACUCUAGUCUGGAACUGUAAGGAGACAUGAGAGGUGUAGCAUAAGUGGGAGGUGUCGCCAGUCUUCACCGACAGUGAAAUACCACUACUUUCAUAGUUUCCUUACUUACUCGGUGAGGCGGAGGGCGUCCGUCGCCGGCCUCCCGGCCGCGGCGAGACGGUCUUCUUGCGCCAAGCGCGGGGGUUGGCGCCGGCCUCCUGUAGCGUCGGUUUCCCGGCCGGUCGUGAGAGCCUUGCAGGUUUUAACGGCCCGAGUGGAACUCCGGCGCGAUCCAGGAGCGUGCGGUUCAAGCCAACGCACUCCUCGGCGUGAUCCGAUCCGAGGACACUUCCAGGUCGAUAGUUUGACUGGGGCGGUACAUCUGUCAAACAAUAACGCAGGUGUCCUAAGGCCAGCUCAGCGAGGACAGAAACCUCGCGUAGAGCAAAAGGGCAAAAGCUGGCUUGAUCCCGAUGCUCAGUACGCAUAGGGACUGCGAAAGCACGGCCUAUCGAUCCUUUUGGCUUGGAGAGUUUCCAGCAAGAGGUGUCAGAAAAGUUACCACAGGGAUAACUGGCUCGUGGCGGCCAAGCGUUCAUAGCGACGUCGCUUUUUGAUCCUUCGAUGUCGGCUCUUCCUAUCAUUGCGGAGCAGAAUCCGCCAAGCGUCGGAUUGUUCACCCGCCAAUAGGGAACGUGAGCUGGGUUUAGACCGUCGUGAGACAGGUUAGUUUUACCCUUCUGAUGACUAAAACACUUCAUUGCAACGGUAAUCCUGCUCAGUACGAGAGGAACCGCAGAUUCGGACAUUUGGUUAUGCACUCGGUCGACAGGCCGGUGGUGCCAGGCUAUCAUCCGCGGGAUUAUGCCUGAACGCCUCUAAGGCCGAAUCCCGCCUGAUAGCCCUGACACUUUUAGGGGUCCCAUGGGUCGAAAGGCUCAAACCAAUGUGAAACUGUAGGUGGUCCCGGUCCGUCCGGGCCAUCGCACGAGCCAUAUUACCGGGGGGGUCCUCGCGCGGGUUCGUCGCCGGACUAGAGUCCGGUCGGACCCCGGCCUCCCUGGCUAACAUGGGUCACCCUAACGGGAGUUCGAUGUUGGGACCCGGAGCCGUCUGUAGACGACUUAGGUACCGACGCGGGGUGUUGUACUCGGUAGAGCAGUUACCACGCUGCGAUCUGUUGAGACUUCUCCCCGGCUCGGUGGUUCGGCAUUAAA
rnacentral:rRNA from 1 species